GAACCUACGGGGCGCAGCAGUGAGGAAUAUUGGUCAAUGGACGCAAGUCUGAAGCAGCCAUGCCGCGUGCAGGAAGACGGCUCUAUGAGUUGUAAACUGCUUUUGUACGAGGGUAAACGCAGAUACGCGUAUCUGUCUGAAAGUAUCGUACGAAUAAGGAUCGGCUAACUCCGUGCCAGCAGCCGCGGUAAUACGGAGGAUUCAAGCGUUAUCCGGAUUUAUUGGGUUUACAGGGUGCGUAGGCGGUCGGAUAAGUUAGAGGUGAAAUCCCGCGGCUCAACUUCGGAAUUACCUCUGAUAGUAUU
rnacentral:rRNA from 1 species